GUGAAUCAUCAAAUUUUUGAACGCAAAUUGCGCUUUUUUCGGAAGGCAUGUCUGUUUGAGGGCACCAUUUAACAAAUAAUGUGCAUUUUGUGUGCACACGUUGAUGAGCUUUCCACAAUUAUGUAUUAUUAUUUUUGGUGGCGCAUAAUUAAACAGCGCGAUGCUUUUUUUCAGUUCGAGUGUAGUAAAAUUUUUUCUUGCUUGGGUUGUGAAAAGCGUGAUCGCGCAAAUGGUUUUGAUGUGUCUAU
rnacentral:misc_RNA from 1 species